AACUGAACACAGGGGUGCUGGAGAGAACUCCGGCUGAGAUGCGGGGCUGUGACUGCCCUCUUUCCCUUAAACCUGAUCCGGGUAAUGCCGGCGUAGGAAGUGAACGAUCUGUCUUU
rfam:Oscillibacter sp. 57_20 Ley3_66761_scaffold_260, whole genome shotgun sequence.